UACGUAGGGAGCGAGCGUUGUCCGGAAUCAUUGGGCGUAAAGAGCAUGUAGGUGGAUCAAUAAGUCUGCUGUGAAAGUCGAAGGCUCAACCUUCGAAAGCCGGUGGAUACUGUUGAUCUAGAGUACGGAAGAGGCGAGUGGAAUUCCUGGUGUAGCGGUGGAAUGCGCAGAUAUCAGGAGGAACACCAAUAGCGAAGGCAGCUCGCUGGGACGUAACUGACGCUGAGGAGCGAAAGCGUGGGGAGCGAACAGG
rnacentral:rRNA from 1 species